AAAUUAUAUAUAUAAAGAAUACUAAAAGUUUUAAAUAUUUUGAUAUCCAAAAUAUCUAUGUCUUACCUAAUAAAUCAAUGGCAUACACUGGUCUCUGAGAUGCAAGCGCAUCCAGAUUUAAACACCAUAAUGCUACUCCAGCUCCUAAACCAUGUAAUAAAACAAUUGGUGUUCUUGGUGAUUCUUCAUUCAAUGAAAUAGUCCAUAUUUUAUCCGCUGGACCCACUACUGGCCCAAUAUCCACAUACCAUCCUCUAUAUGCCGUUUUUAAACCUUGCAACAUUGAAAUUAGCACAUAUAAAUUUUUAUUUAUCUUAAUAAAAUUCUUAAAAUUUAAUUAUAUUUUAUUUACAUGACAGGAUCUUUUUUUCCACAGCACGUAACAUGGUUGAAGAUGAUCCAGACCAACUAAACCAUCCCCAAAUCCAGCUGCUGUUUAGGAAAAAAAAAGGAUUAUUUUUCUCGUACACAUACGUGGAGCUAUGUUUUAGAGAAGAGCAACAAAUCGAUAAUUUACAUAAACCAGUUUCCCCCAGCAAUUAUUUCCGCAUUUGAAUGAAAUAAUAUAAUCUGAAUUUCGCGAAAAAAAAAUGUAAAAAAAGUAAGAGUAGUUGCAUGAUAACUGAAGAAAACAGAAAGCAUUUAUCAACUGUGAACCGUCAACAUUUAAGGCACCGGCAAAUUCUAUCAUCCGGGAAGACGAAUCAGACCGGAUGAGACGCGGAUUUCGAAUCUGGAGCAUCAGCUGAUUAUGACAUUUCUUCGGCGAUUCAAAAUGACGUCAUUUAAUUACUUGUUAUGUUACAACAUAAUAAUUAUACGCACAUAAGUGAAAUUCCUUGUCUAGAAGAUCGUCGAUUAUGCCGACUCGACACCGGGAGGAAGACACUACAGUUCAAGGGUCGCAUCUUUGUAAGUAAUGCAUAUCAAUGUACGAUAAAAAUGCUGAUAAUAUAUGUCUGCUCUUUUUCUCUAUGACGUAUUAUAUCGCGCCGGUAAUCGCAACGUGUUAUUGUUAAGGCCGAAAUAUAAAAGUGAAUGAUAACGCGUGAAUAAUUUCGUGUAAAUUGACGAGUAUAAUUCCUUAUACAAAGUAGAUAUAUUAACACAUAUGUGUGUAUCGUUAUCAUAUUUUAUUAAUUGUGCGUUCAUUACUUUUACAUUUCUUUUGCUUAAAUACUGACCAACGUAAUAUCUUUCAUCGAGUGUUCGAUGUGAUAUAUAUUGAACUUAUUAAUAAACAUGAAACAGUUUCAAAUCUUUCUCAUCAUUGUUUCGAAAUUUCAUUCAUAAUUAAUCAGUAGCAUCAAACUUGAUGAAAAUAAUGUAAAAAAUUAAUAAACAUAAAU